UCCCUCUGCCUUGUAAUUUAUUAAAUUGUAUUUAUUACUCUUUCCGUUCUUUCUUUUCUUCCAAGCUCAGCUUCUUGACCAAAAGAUACGCUCACUGCUCACAGCUUCCAUUUUCAUUCCAGGAUUCAGCAACAAGUUUCAGCCACCACGCUCUUUUUCAACAGAACAAACACCAUUCCAUAAUGCAAUGGUGCUGUCAUGCCAUGUUUCUAUAUAAGAUAGCAGGAAUACCUCUUCGGUCCUCUCAUGGCUCACUAGAUGCCCACCGUGGAGAUCAACCAAUCUAGCAAAAGGCUGCAACUUCUUUGCAAGCCUCCUCGCGUAAUAUAUUUGAGCAAUGAUAUCAUGCCUAGCCAUUCCGAGCACCUCAAAUCAGUCAUAAGCAGACCCAACAUGCUCAUCAAGAUAUUCCUGCAGAUCAGAAAUAAACAUCAUGUGAGUUCCUGCAGUCACAAAACUGACUCGAGACACUAUCAGAGAGUAAACAUGCCAAUGGGUGUCUAAGUCAACUGCAGCCCUUUGCUCAGGAGUUUUUGCCUUCAAGAAACGGAUAGCGACAGAUAUUGUUCGACUGUCAAGCUGCAAGAUACAAAAAAUUCAUCAUUUUUUAAUCAUGUGACUCGAAUUUUAAAACAGGAAAGACAAUACCCUCUGGUUCUCGGAAAAGAAAAAUGCACUUUAUGGCUGGUGACAACCAAAUAGCUUAAAAUGUGGUUGAGAGCUUACAAAACUAAUGGAUGUGACGUGAAUUCUGAUAAGAGAGAUUCCCAGUGCACAUUAGCACGAGAAACUACUCAGACAGUUAUAUUUUCUUCACCCCUCUUUGGCAAUCUCCAUCAAUGGUGAAAACAAGAACACUCAAAUCAAUUACAGAACCAGAGAAGAUCUAGUUCUCUCUGUGCCCUCACAAUGAUGUAAUAUUAACCUUAUAUAUUGAUCAUUAGCAGCUCAAAGGCUUAUCAAAUAUUAUCAAAAGAAGAUCCAACACUAACAAAGAGU